rnacentral:rRNA from 1 species
GACGGAGGGUGCAAGCGUUGUUCAGAUUGACUGGGCGUAAAGGGCGUGUAGGCGGUCGGUCAAGUCCGAUGUGAAAGCCCGGGGCUCAGCCCCGGAAGUGCAUCGGAAACUAGCCGGCUGGAGCGCGAUAGAGGAGGGUGGAAUUCCUGGUGUAGCGGUGAAAUGCGUAGAUAUCAAGAGGAACACCUGCGGCGAAGGCGGGUUGCUGGGCCGACACUGACGCUGAA